rnacentral:ribozyme from 1 species
GAUUUAUUUGGAGGAGGAAAUCUUGCGGUUAGUUUGAUAGAGUUCCCAUGGAGAAGACAAGGGGGAGUAUCCUUUUCGUUGUGGGUUUUAGCUUGUAACCAGAUU